rnacentral:rRNA from 1 species
AGAGUUGAUCAUGGCUCAGGAUGAACGCUGGCGGCGUGCCUAACACAUGCAAGUCGAGCGAGAUACUGUUGAACAGAGAUUCGUCAACGGGAUACAGUGGAAAGCGGCGGACGGGUGAGUAACGCGUAGGCAACCUGCCCCUUACACAGGGAUAGCCAUUGGAAACGAUGAUUAAAACCUGAUGACACCUAAUGAUGACAUCUUCGUUAGGUCAAAGAUUUAUCGGUAAGGGAUGGGCCUGCGUCUGAUUAGAUAGUUGGUGAGGUAACGGCCCACCAAGUCAACGAUCAGUAGCCGACCUGAGAGGGUGAUCGGCCACAUUGGAACUGAGACACGGUCCAAACUCCUACGGGAGGCAGCAUGGGGAAUAUUGCACAAUGGGGGAAACCCUGAUGCAGCAACGCCGCGUGAAGGAAGAAGGUCUUCGGAUCGUAAACUUCUGUCCUAGAGGAAGAUAAUGACGGUACUCUUGGAGGAAGCCCCGGCUAACUACGUGCCAGCAGCUGC